GUCUCCGUAGCUUAGUCGGUAGAACUACGCACCCGACUACGGUGCGGUAGAACUCGGGUUCGAGCCCCGCUGAAGGCA